rnacentral:rRNA from 1 species
GACGAACGCUGGCGGCGUGCCUAAUACAUGCAAGUCGAGCGGAUCUUCAUUAGCUUGCUUUUGAAGAUCAGCGGCGGACGGGUGAGUAACACGUGGGCAACCUGCCUGUAAGACUGGGAUAACUUCGGGAAACCGGAGCUAAUACCGGAUAAUCCUUUCCCUCACAUGAGGGAAAGCUGAAAGACGGUUGCGGCUGUCACUUACAGAUGGGCCCGCGGCGCAUUAGCUAGUUGGUGAGGUAAUGGCUCACCAAGGCGACGAUGCGUAGCCGACCUGAGAGGGUGAUCGGCCACACUGGGACUGAGACACGGCCCAGACUCCUACGGGAGGCAGCAGUAGGGAAUCUUCCGCAAUGGACGAAAGUCUGACGGAGCAACGCCGCGUGAGCGAUGAAGGCCUUCGGGUCGUAAAGCUCUGUUGUCAGAGAAGAACAAGUACCGGAGUAACUGCCGGUACCUUGACGGUACCUGACCAGAAAGCCACGGCUAACUACGUGCCAGCCGCCGCGGUAAGAC